AUGGGAACCAGUGCCAGCGCAUGUAGCCUGUGAGCAGUCUUCUUCAGUUCCCUCUAGCCUCAGGAGACAUUCUGGAAGGACAUUUACCUCAAAGGACCUCGGAGGCUAUACCGUUGUCUUGGAGCUGGUCAGUGACUGGAACCCUCUACAGGACAGGUGCUUGGAGGAAGACCCUGGACAGUUCUAAGCUGGACAGUGCUUGCUGCCUGGACCUUGUAUCUACCACUAGCCAUUGUCCUCACCACCGUGUGGGCCUUAGAAAGACUUCCAGGAGGCGAUGCCAGCUUGGGAAGGAGCCUCUGGUCUGCAGGGCAGCUUCAGGAGGUGAUGCAAGCUCUGUGGAUACAGCAGCCAACAUUGGGUACUUGAGGAGAGGUUGUCUGUGAUGAGUUCGCUUUAUUAAUGACGAAUAUAACACAGAUGGCCUGUUUUCAAUACCACCUGUUACUCCUGUCACUCGGCAG